rnacentral:rRNA from 1 species
UAGUGAUCCGGUGGUUCUGUAUGGAAGGGCCAUCGCUCAACGGAUAAAAGGUACUCUGGGGAUAACAGGCUGAUUCCUCCCAAGAGUUCAUAUCGACGGGGGAGUUUGGCACCUCGAUGUCGGCUCAUCACAUCCUGGGGCUGUAGCCGGUCCCAAGGGUAUGGCUGUUCGCCAUUUAAAGUGGUACGUGAGCUGGGUUUAAAACGUCGUGAGACAGUUUGGUCCCUAUCUGCCGUGGGCGUUGGAAAUUUGAAGGGGGCUGCUCCUAGUACGAGAGGACCGGAGUGGACGAACCUCUGGUGUACCGGUUGUCACGCCAGUGGCAUUGCCGGGUAGCUAAGUUCGGAAGAGAUAACCGCUGAAAGCAUCUAAGCGGGAAACUUGCCUUGAGAUGAGAUUUCCCAGAGCCUUGAGCUCUUUGAAGGGUCGUUCGAGACCAGGACGUUGAUAGGCUGGGUGUGGAAGUGCAGUAAUGCAUUAAGCUAACCAGUACUAAUUGCCCGUACGGCUUGUCCCU